UCUACACAGGCCUUUCUUUCUGGACCACUUUGAUGACUACCAGAAGUACUUCACUGUCAUGAACUAUGCAGAGGGGGUCCAGCUCAAACAGGUUCACUACGAUGAAUUCAUACCCAUGAGAACCAUGAAAAGCAGUAUCCUCAAUAUUCACGGAAAGAGGUUGAGCCAGUUCAAGGCCAGACCAGCUGUCCUCCUGUUCCCACUGUGUAUACAUGGUAACUGUGAUAGAUGGUACUGCCGUUGUAAGGAAAGGAGGGGGAGCAGCGGAGGACCAGCAGCAGCUGCAUAAAACUGUGAACGUGUGAUGAAGUUUCAGAUCCUGGAGGUGAACUUCAGUCCAGACUGCGCCCGGGCCUGCUUCUAUCACCCUGGCUUCUACGACCACAUGUUCCAAACACUCUUCCGAAAUGAGGCUGAUCAGUUCCCUGUCACUCAGGUCUCAUGAUGACCUCUAACCCCGGACCUCGAACCCUUCCAUAUUAUGCAGUUGAAAAGGCCCAUUUGGAAAAUGUGUAUUUCCUCUUUUUAGUGGAAUUUGAUAUUGAGUAAUGGUCUGGACCAGAGGUGCCAAAUACAUUUUGCCCCCUGGGCCACAUUCGUUCUCCACCGAGGUCUGGAGGACCGCACUUAAAAUGUAUUAUAUUUCCUCGCCAUCAACAUUUGCAAAUAAAUUGUUUUUAAAUACCUUU